rnacentral:rRNA from 1 species
GACGAACGCUGGCGGCGUGCUUAACACAUGCAAGUCGAACGAAGAGCGAUGGAAGCUUGCUUCUAUCAAUCUUAGUAGCGAACGGGUGAGUAACGCGUAAUCAACCUGCCCUUCAGAGGGGGACAACAGCUGGAAACGACUGCUAAUACCGCAUACGAUCUAACCUCGGCAUCGAGGAUGGAUGAAAGGUGGCCUCUAUUUAUAAGCUAUCACUGAAGGAGGGGAUUGCGUCUGAUUAGCUAGUUGGAGGGGUAACGGCCCACCAAGGCGAUGAUCAGUAGCCGGUCUGAGAGGAUGAACGGCCACAUUGGGACUGAGACACGGCCCAGACUCCUACGGGAGGCAGCAGUGGGGAAUCUUCCGCAAUGGACGAAAGUCUGACGGAGCAACGCCGCGUGAGUGAUGACGGCCUUCGGGUUGUAAAGCUCUGUUAAUCGGGACGAAAGGCCUUCUUGCGAACAGUUAGA